rnacentral:snRNA from 1 species
GCCGCUUCUCGGCCUUUUGGCUAAGAUCAAGUGUGGUAUCUGUUCUUAUCAGUUUAAUAUCUGAUACAUCCUCUAUCCGAGGACAAUAUAUUAAACGGAUUUUUGGAGCAGGGAGAUGGAAUAGGAGCUUGCUCCGUCCACUCCACGCAUCGACCUGGUAUUGCAGUACCUCCAGGAACGGUGCACCAAAA